rnacentral:lncRNA from 1 species
UACAGGGAAAAGCCAGUUAAGAUGAGAUGACCAGGAAAUGCGCCUUAAACGCAGGUAAGGUUUUACGCAGAUUUAAAUUAAUACCCUCCGCAUUUAGUCACCCCUCUCCCUGUCCACAGAGGUUUUGGAGAGGGAGACACCUUCACAAAUGGAAAUUUUCUUUCCUUGUGUCAGUUUCUCUUACAGAUGGGCAAUUUUCGGUACUACUGUGUCUGCAGUCUCUCAGGAAAACCACUUCAAAAUAAUUAAUAUACUACAGAGGCAGAGUAAGGGUGGCAUGUUCUGGUGCAUUGCGGGGUGGCCAGCACCCUGCCAAGGUAGAUUUCUGCUCAGAGGCUAUGAGCUGCCUGAGAAAUUGAAAGUCUGAAAUUAUUAAUGAAGAAUAAGAGUCAGAGCCAGAAAUUAGACCAGGGAACUGAACAACCCAAAAUGGCUCUGGUUCUUUAUUUAAGGGGGAGUUCAUCAAAGGCAAGGAUAAGGCUUCAGAGGAAGAGUUUAGGUGCUUGCUUCUCCUUGUGUCAGGGGUCUUGCAGCAAAGAGGUUGAUUGGCGUCUCAGCAAGCCACAUCCAUCUGCAAAAGGCUGUGUGACUGUGGUUCCAGCGGGUCCCCCCAUCUCAGGUGCAGUGCUGAACUUAGAGGGAACUAAGUAGGAAGUCACAUGGAUUGGGCAUUCUCAAACCUGCAGGGUUGCCCUGGGAGUUCCUGACAUCAGACAGUCCUACCUAAUGGCUUCCUGGACGAUUUCAGUUCACACAGAGUUCAUGGUUGAUUCCCGGCACUGUUGUGUCCUGUAGUCAUACUUUGGGGUGAUAUGUUUGUUGAGUCCUAUCAUAACAUCCAAUUCUUUAUUCAUUAUGGAACUCAUCAUAUUAGGUCACAAGUGUUUUGAAUUUGCUACUAGAUUUUGAGAAUCUCAAGAACAGAUACUAUGGCUUAUUCAACUUUUUGUUUCUCAGGAAUGUUAACCUAAGUGUUAAGAUGCUAAGUAUUUAAACAUCAGCAACAUUAUCUUUCACCGCUAAUGUUUGCUUAUUUCAUUUUUUUUCUUUUGAACUUAAAGUGGUAAUAUACUGUAAUAAUGAAGCUGAUGUAGGCUAUAAUCUAAGUUUUGUUAAUGGUCCUACUGCUCAGAAAACCAUACUUCAAAGGCUAUGGCUUUGGCAUUCCAAGAGCUUUGAGCUAUACCAGAACCAAGGUCUUCUUGACCGGCCCCUACCCUCCGUUCUCUCACCCUUUUCCCCCAAAGUACAGGAAGGAGUUUUCUUUAAAUGCUCCUCAUCUGACUAAAUACCACUCAUCUCUUCACCCUCCCAUAACCAGUCACCACCUGCUUCUUCCAGAAACCUCAAACCCGUAUUCUUUUCUAUAGCUUAUGAUACUAGAUGAACUUAACCAUCUGGAUUUUCUUUGAAUCUUCUAUUUUGUCCGACUCCCACAUAUACGCAUAUAAUAAACUUGUAUGUCUUUUCUCCAAUUAAUCUGUCUACUGUUUGUUCCAGAGAUGAAAAUGAUCCAAAUUUCAGAGAAUAGGUUUAACUUCUCUACAGCUCCUUUUCCAAUGCUGCUGAUAUGGAACUGAAAAAUCCUAUGGGAGACCAGAAAGUAUAUCUUCAUUUUUGAAAUGAAUUAUCUUUUGAUAUCAUUUUCACAUUUUUCCACACCAAAAUAUGAGAGUAAGAGAACAGAGUAGGUCACCCCAAAAUAGGCCCCUUUGGCAUAAAGAUUAUUUUUGAGAAAUUGCAGAUAAGGAGAAAUUCUGAAAAUAGAGGAGAACCUGUCAUUUUAUAAGGAAGAUUUACCUCUAUAGAGGACAUCUCCAAUUGUAAGAGUAUCUCUCUCUUUGUGCCAGGACAGAAGGAGGAGUGUGAAUCAUGUGAAGACACUGAUUGAAAUCUGCAAAACCAGCCUUACUCUUGUUUACUGUAAUUUCUCUGUUCACCUCUCUAUUACUGGUCCCUCAAACCCUUCUGGUUUUGUUUCAGUGAGGUGGCUCAGCAUGUCCCUGGGCAUCUUCCAUGUAUAUAUGAGCAAUACAUGCCAAUGAACUUCUUGCUUUCCUCUGACUAACUUAUCUUUUGUUAUAUCUUGACAAAGAACUCAGAAAAAGUAGAGAGAAAAAAAUGUAUUUUCCUCCUAUGUACAAAGCAGAAAUUAUUUAGCAGAUUGGUUUUUAUUUGAAAUACAAUUUCUUAAAUCUCAGCAAGAAAAGUCUGUGUGUCCUCAUGUAUGUGUCUUCAGAAGCAUGGAGUACUCAUAGAGGCAAGCUCACAUGACCCUUUAAGGGUCUAAGUUUCUUUUUUAAUCUACAAAAUAAAUAAGUGCCAGAGCAAAGCCUCCUAGAACAUACUGAAGAUUUUGUGUCAAGAUCACUAAUACGUGAAAGCUAUUUAGAAAUAAUAGCUUUGGAGUAAAUCAAUGGAAAAUUGGAGGAAAUAAGCAUCCCUACCCUUCAAAAAUCCAACAAUGGUCAGCAUUGCUUCUGUGUUUUCUUUUUAACAUUUCAUGCAUACAACGUUUAGGAUAAUGUUUAAUAAGGAAAAAAAAGUAAGACUUUAGUUUUCUAGAACAUUGGCCACUUACUCUCUUGCUGAUGUUUCUCAAGUGUUUCUGUUUUUGAGGGAAAACAUAGUCACUCCUCAGCUAGUCUUUAAAGCAAAGGCUGAUCUAUACCUGGCCAGCAGAGUCACUAGGAAGGGAUGGAAUUCCAUUUUGUGUUCAUCUGGAAUUUUCUCUUUGGUUCAAUCUUGACAAGAAGCCAAGAUGGCUUCUUGCUUUGGUUUUGAGGUCUCUGAGGGCAGGCAAUUGCAUAGGAGCAUAAGAGCAAUUUGCCAUGACUCACCUCCUUUUUUGUUGUCACUGAUGAUUGCACAAAAAGUAAACAGUUUUCCUACAGUGCUCAAUAGCCUCAAAUGUGCCAGGGCAAGGACCGCUUUUCAAGAAAAUGAAAUAAAACAUAUGGAAGAAAACUAGGAACUCUUGUCAGAAUUAUUCCACUGUGAAAUUAGUUACAUUCCACAAGAAAAUAUAAUCAUGCCAGGGGUUUCUUUCUUCAGUGACUCUCACAUAAACUGCAGCAGGGAAAAAACCUGGUGUUCAGCAUCAUAAGCUGUCAGUGCCAUUGGCUACCAAAACCCAUUCAUAUUUGAUUAUUUUCAGUCCACUGCAAUUUCUAUACAGCCCUGGUGUAUAUUUCCUUGGUUCAUUGAAUAAAACAUUCGCAUCCGUCUGUGAUCGUAUUGCCGUUGUCCCUGUUAUAAUUAACACAGCAACAGAUUAAAAAAAUACAACUUAAAAUAAGUGGUGUAAAAUUCACUUCCAAACAGAAUACACAUAAAAAAAGAUUAUCCAACAGAGAGCUGCCAAAGUACUGUAAACUGGAAGAGUUUCAACAUCCUUUAAACACUCGGCUAGAAGCUAACUGAACCACAUCUCUGCUGUCAACAGAGCAUGAAACUCCAAGACUUCUGCAGUUUCCAUCUAGUCUCUGCCAGAUAAAACUAAAGACUUCCAUGGGGUGAAUACAUAUUUUUAAUUUUAAUGGCAUUGUCCAUUUCUUUUUGGUAAUCAGUGUGUGUCCUUCUUGAGAAUGUCCACGUGGUUUAUGAAUGUGACAUUCUGAAAACUGCUAUAGUCUGCCCCAACUUGUGUUAUCAUUCUCUUCUCCACAAAGCCCUUCUUGGAUGCAUAAAGUUGUGACUGUUAUGCUGUGAAGGACACUUAGUAGGUCUCAUCAUUUUUCCUAGAAUGUGUGAUAGAAAACACAAACACAUGCAUGUGUGUGUGUGUGUGCGCUCUCACACACACACACACUUACACACAGUAGCUAAAGAGGAAGCUGAAUGUCACAGUAAAUCCUACUCAAAAUUCUCCAUUGAAAAUCUAUUUCUUAUCAACUCAAAUUUUCAGGAUCUGGCCGUAAAAGGCCUAUACAGUGUAAGCCUAGAUUAUCUUUCCAGUCUGUUUUUACCAGUCUCCUAAAUGUGUCUCAUAUUCCUAGCAAACCAGACUAUAUGGUCCCUGUGUCACCUGGGCUUUCCUACUGUCUGAUCCUGCCCUCUGGAUAGCAGAGCAUCAGGGCUAGUCUGGAGUAUGUAACACCACUAGUCUGGAGUAUGGGGUGUUAGAUGUUUGGCUCAGGGAGAAGACAGGCAGGGAAGUGGAGGAGAGGUGCCCCUUGAAGUCAGUGGAUAGCAGUUGGGGCUGAGGCGGGUGAUCUGUAUCAGAGCAUCUCUCAGAUUGCUGAUGAGAAAAGUGGUGCACCCCAUAGGAAGAAUCUGACCAUUUGAAUGCUGCGGAAAUAAAAUUUCUGUAACAAAACCAGGAAGACAGAUAGGGCAGGAGACAUGUUUCAUGAGGUAAGGUCUGAGGUGUGGUCUGAGGUUGUGAGAUAAAUGACUUUUCCUAGAGGGACUGCUUCUCUGGUGACUGAAAAAAAGUUCUCAAGGAUAUGAAAGGAAAUGAAUGCCACCUGGGUGCUUAUAAUCAUGACAUUCUUCAUGCAUUGAAUACCUUCCUCUUCCCUGUCAAAUUGUAUCAAUUCUUCCAGGUCAAAUGUCAACUCUUCCAUGAAGCCUUUUUCUAUCCCUUCAAAAAAGGCCAUCCUAAUCUUCUGCAUACUAUCAUUGUUAGAACUUCUGGAAGGCCUUCCUUACUGUGUGUAUUACAGUCUGGUUUAUUUGUCUCAUGAUUUUGCUACAUUAUAUGCAAUGUAAAUUAUAGAUUUGCUCUGAAUCAUUGUAGCAACUAUGAGCCAUGUCACAUAACUGUUACUCAACAAAUAUUGUUAACAUCAUUUAAACUAACAUCUGCAGGGAAAUCAAAUAUUUACAUGAUCUAUGGAACAAUAAAAUGGUAUCAAAGUCCAAAUAUAUCCAUGGACCCUCUCACAGUUGGCCAAUAUUGUUGGCAUUCCUUCAAUAUGGUUUAUAGAGAUAAGAAGAUUUGUUCAGCUUAUAUUGAAUAUUGACUUACAAUUUCCCAUGGACCUAAAUUUUUUCAGUUGUUUGGCAUAACCAGGAGACCAUCUCAUUCCACCUAAAAGUCUGAUACCAAAAUAAUUUGGCUUGUGCAAUGAUUAAAAUGUAGUUUGUUUCCAUAUUUAAUUUAGCUAUUUUUUAAUUUUGUUAAGUACAUCAUUUUGUAAGCAUAUACUGGAAAUAUGUAUUUCUUAUAAGAUUACUAUUGGAUACACAGAAAAUACUUCAGUAUCAGGAAUAAAAUUCUUGAAUGUUCUCCAUGUUAGCUGCUAGGAAAAUUGAGGUUAAAUUUUCAGCCACGACUAUUGGACAUUAUGAAAAGCAUUGUAUGAUUAAAUAUUACCCUGUUAGGGUCUGUAAACAAGUCAGGAUGGCGCCUGGCAUUUUGCCAGAGGGAGUGGUUUGUGAAGUAACGCCAGUGAGCCAUUAAGUGUGGAGAUUCCUUAUUGGUUGACUGCUGUAUCUAGUUUAUGUUAAUUAAGAUAAGCUGUGUGGAAUGUAUAUAUACCCCUCCUGUCCUACAAUAAACGGCUGCCACUCCUUCUGUAUCAAUCUACACAAGUUCCUCGUCACCCCCCCCCCCCCCCCCCCCGGUUAUUUUGCUGCAGCCGGACUGCGGCAUUACCCCUUACUUUUUUUAAAAUUUUUUCUACUUAUUUUCUCUUUCUCCAAUUUCUUACUUUAAAUAUGUUCAACAAUGCACAGUAUAAAUAACACAGAAAAUUAAAAUGGUCUAUAUUGACUUAUCCUCCAUUAUCUUAAAGUCAAAUAUGUUAUAUGUGUGUGAUAUUAUUAAAUGACAAAGAAAUGACCAUUUGUGAGACAUUUUCUUGAAAGCAAAAUGAUUUUGAAACUAGCCUCAGAAAAGAUCUAUCAAUCAGACAAGACAUUUAUUCACUUUUGGCCCUUAUUUUCUCCUCUGAAAGGUAAGAUAAAUAAAACUCUCACCUGCCCAUCUGCCUCAUUUUUAUAAUUCCACAUAAAACAUAAAGAUAAGAAAGCUUGGCUUUCAAAAUAUCUUUUAUUAUUUACAGAGCAGGAAGAUUGUUAAAAAUGCAGAGUGCUCAUAUUCAUUAAGGAUGUCGCUCUCCAAGGCUGCAGAAAUGCAUCAAGAAAAUAAACCAUAAAUGGGACCCAGUGUUAACCAUUUAUCUCUCCAAAGAACCUCCUUGAGCACUGCACUUUAAAAAUAUAUAUAGUAUUUUUCACUCACAUAAAAUGAAAGUUUAGAAUUUGAAGCUGAAUAACACCAAAGUCAUCAUAAAGGGGAUGCAUAUCUGUCCUCAUAUAAUUUAGUGUUCAUUUCAGCUAAAUGUCAUAGAGGAGAAGAGAGAACAACUCUGAUUUCCCUCAGGUCUGAGCACCCAUUUCACUGAACAUAGAGAACUUAGUAAUGGUCAUGGAAGAGACUAAAAGGUGAUAAAAUGAUGGGGACAUAUAAACUUGUGAGAAAAAAAUGUUCACGGAAAUUGAGUCAUUUGUCAUAAAGAAAUGAAAGAAGAACAGGCAUGAUGAAUGUCUGAUGACAGAGAUUCUAGCCAACCAGCUCCCAGUGUGUGGAAUGAAAACACAAAUCAGCUAAAAGAGAAUGGGAUGGAAAUAUGAACCCCCAAUUUUAUCAUUAUCUCCUUAGUUGUGAGGCAAAGACAGCGAUUCGUUGAUCUCACAUGUCAAAUUCACAUUGUGUUAUACAAUCAUAAUUUUAAAAAUUCUGUUUAUUUUUAAAUUGAUAAAGAAUUAUUCUGUAUGUUUAUGGAUUACAACAUGCAUAUAUGAAAUAAGCAAACAUUAGCGGUGAAAGAUAAUGUUGCUGAUGUUUAAAUACUUAGCAUCUUAACACUUAGGUUAACAUUCCUGAGAAACAAAAAGUUGAAUAAGCCAUAGUAUCUGUUCUUGAGAUUCUCAAAAUCUAGUAGCAAAUUCAAAACACUUGUGACCUAAUAUGAUGAGUUCCAUAAUGAAUAAAGAAUUGGAUGUUAUGAUAGGACUCAACAAACAUAUCACCCCAAAGUAUGACUACAGGACACAACAGUGCCGGGAAUCAACCAUGAACUCUGUGUGAACUGAAAUCGUCCAGGAAGCCAUUAGGUAGGACUGUCUGAUGUCAGGAACUCCCAGGGCAACCCUGCAGGUUUGAGAAUGCCCAAUCCAUGUGACUUCCUACUUAGUUCCCUCUAAGUUCAGCACUGCACCUGAGAUGGGGGGACCCGCUGGAACCACAGUCACACAGCCACUUGCAGAUGGAUGUGGCUUGCUGAGAUGACAAUCAACCUCUUUGCUGUAAGACCCCUGCCACAAGGAGAAGCAAGCACCUAAACUCUUCCUCUGAAGCCUUAUCCUUGCCUUUGAUGAACUCCCCCUUAAAUAAAGAACCAGAGCCAUUUUGGGUUUUUCAGUUCCCUGGUCUAAUUUCUGGCUCUGUCCUCAUGUUCCUUUGUAUUUCCAUAUCUUUCAUAUUCUUUGUGUGUUAUGAGGUACAUGCUCACACCCCUGUAUAUAUACACACAGAUGUAUAUAUUUGUUUUUUUAAUCUGCAUAUUUUUAUUUAUAAUGAGAACAUGCCAAAAAUUAAUAUUUUAAUUAAAUAGAAGCAUUAAAAGGCUUAUGUGAAAUGUGAAAUCUGACAAACACAAGGUCUCUCUCCUUUCUGGCAUCUAUAGGCCUGUCCAUGCGGCUGUUUAAGAGCUGGUUAUUUAAGGGUGGAAGUGAGCCAAUGUUCUGCUGACUCAGAAGAAGGCGCUUGCUGUGUGGGCAGAGUACAUGGAAGCUAUUUGUGGAGGGAAGAGUAUGUCACCUAAAUUAAUGUGGGAGACUCACCUCAUAAGUCAUCCCCACCAUUCUGCUCCGCCACCCCGCUGCAAAGUGUAGGGGUCAAUAUUCUACUCAUUUAGAACAUACAGGGCCUAUUCAUCUACGAUGGGGUCGGUCUCUCCCUUCAUGGGGCCAGGAUACAAUAUGACUCAGGAUAAAAACUUAUUUAAGAAACCGGUAUUCAAGACAGCCAUUAAACUUGAACACAUAUUUCAAAGUCCUGUGUAUCAUCCUCUGCUGUUGAAUGCCAUGAACUGGCCUAGUACGCGGACCAGGGAGUCAGCCACAGACUCAGAUUUGAGCACUGUUAAAUAGGCCUCUUAUCCCAACACAAUAAAUUGUUUCUUUCCUUAUGUGUGCAUUUAAAAUUCUGAUUUUUUCCCCAAAACUCCUUCCAAAAAAUGAUACUUGUCUUCUCAAUAAGAUUUAAGAAGAAAGUGAGGGCACCGGUAGAGAAUGUCAGGGAGAUAAGGAGAUACUGGACAUGUCAAAGUGGUCAACAUUUCAUUUCUGAUUCUCUUUAUGCAAAGGUAAUAAUAUUGCAUGUACCUAGAGUAAGGAGUAAAGAACUAUUUCAGAAUAUUUUCAUCGGUAACUAAUUCAUAGGAAUUAUGACUGGUCAUAAAAAGAAAAUGAAUGAACAGAUGAACUUUUCCUGUCCCUGUAGGUUAAUUUCCAACUGUAAAAGUAAGCAUAUUCUGGGUAUUACUCUGUUUCUAUAGUAACACAGUGUUGUACUUCAGUUUUCUUGCCCAAGAAAUCAGCUCAUCCAGUGGUUCCAUCUGGUGCUCUUGAUUCCACUGAAAAGCCAGUGAGCCAUGUGAGUAACAGUGGACCACUCUGAUACCUUCAUUUUUUUUUCACUCUUUGGGUUUUCAAUUUUCUUACUUGAGUUCAUUUGGAUCUUGCUAAAUAUUAAAUUUAAAUAUCAACUAAAUAGUUACUGCAUAACAACCUUUCAGUCAAGGCUGGACUGAAUAUAUAACAGUGGUCCCAUAAGAUUAUAAGGGAGAUGAAAAAUUCCCAUUACCUGGUGACAUAUCCAUCGUAAUGUAGAAACCCAUGACUCGUGUUUGCGGAGAUGCUGGCAUAAACAAACCCAGGAUGCUACCAGUCAUAAAAACAAUAGCAUGUACAAUUACGUACAGCACAUAAUACUUGAUUCUGGUUUGCAUGUUUACCAUACUAUUUAUUGUUAUUAUAGAGUGAACUCCUUCUACUUAUUAAUAAAAUAAUAAUAAUAAUAAGCAAUAAAAUGGUGACAGGUCCUUCAGGAGGGAUUCCAAAAGAGGUGGCAACCUCAUGCACACUACUGCCCUGAGGACCUUCCAGCAGGCAAGGCAUGCAUGGAGGUACAAGAUGGUGACACUAAUGAUCCUGACCCUGUGUAGGCAUGGGCUACCAUGUGUUUGUGUCUUCGUUUUUAACAACAACAACAACAAAAAUGUCUAAAAAGUAAAACAUUUUGGAAAAUUAAAAAUUCACAAAAUAGAAAAACUAAAGAAUAAAGAUAUAAAGAAAAUAUCUUGUAUCGCUGUACAAUUUGUGUUUCAAGUUAAAUGUUAUAAGAGUCAGAGAAUUAAAAAGAAAGUCUAAAAGUUUUAUAAACUAAAAAGUUACCAUAGUCUAAGGUUCAUUUAUCAUUGAAAAAAAUGGCUUUUGGUCAAUUUAGUGUCACCAAAGUGUUUAUAAGUUCCAUAGUAGUGUACAGUCAUGUCCUCGGACUUCACAUUCACAUACCACUCACUCAACUUCCAAUCUUGCAACUUACAUUCAUGGUAAGUGUCCUAAACAGGAGUACCAUUGUUUACCUUUUAUGUAGUACUUUUGGUGUACCCAUUCUGUUUAGAUAUGUUCAGAUGCACACAUUCUAAGCACUGUGUUACAAUUGCUUACAUUAUUCAGCAUGGCAACCUGCUAUACAAGUUUGCAGCCUAGAUGCAACGGGCUUUCUGUACAGAAGAGGUGUGGAGGAGGCUGCAACAUGGAGCUUGGGAUAAGUAUACUCUGUGAUGCUUACACAGCCAUGUACUCACCUAAUGACACAUCACAUAGGACAUGUCUCCAUCCUUAAGCAACGUGAUUGUAUCUUUUGUUGGUUAAAAUUGUUGAGAAUUAUAAAAUCUGGGAAGAUGGCAGAAAAAAGCAAGAAGCUGGAGUAAUAUUCCCAACUGGAGCAAUAAAGCUACAUCACCUGGGUUGACCAUUUCCUCAUGCCCCACAGAGGUCCAUGCACAUUCAACCUCUUCUGCUAAAGGCUUUGUUUCAAAAAAAAAAAAAAAAAAAAAACAGAAAAAAAAAACUAUGUACUUCUCUAAUAACCUUCUUUAAUUUUUAAAUACUUAUUGAGCUCUAAUUAUGCAUGAAGCACUGUGACAGAUUUUUUAUUACCAAAUUAUUAAAAGAACCUAAUUCAUGUUUUUAAGGAGGUUAGAUCUGCUAUGAAAUUAACUCACCAUGAAAGCAAUACAGUUGAAUGAAAACUGCUAUAACUUAUAGCAGAUUAUAAGUGCAACAGAAGAGACAAGUGUGUCUAGAAAGGUGUGAGAUGGAAGGGUUAAGUAGCAGAAGAAAUAGGGAAGCCUGCACAAAGGAGGUGGCACUGGAGAGAAAUCUUAAAAAUUAUGAUCGGACCCACUUCUGAGUAUAUCACCAAAGGAGCUGAAACGGGUAUGUCAAAGAGUCGUCUGUGUUUCCAUGUUUAUUGUUCACAAUAGCCAAGAUAUGUAAGCAACCUAAGUUUCCAUCAAUAGAUGGAUGGAUAAAGAAAAGGUGGUGUAUAUACUCAAUGGAAUUCUGUUCAGUCUUUCAACUCAGUUGUCAAUCGGAGAUUCAGUCAUUUGCAACAAUAGAGAUGGACAUGGAGAACGCUAUGCAAUGUGAAAUAAGACAGGCACAAAAAGAUAAAUGUUACGUGAUCUCAUUUCCCAUAUGGUGUCUAAAGACGUCAGUCUUGUAGAAACAGAGGGUAGAAAGGAGGCUCCCAGAGACUGGGGUGUGGAGAGCAAUGGGAAAGGAGAGAUUUGACCAAGUUAGAUGAUAAAAUACACUUUAGUGAUCUCUUCGACUGCAUGUUGACCAUAGUUAGUAAAUAAUGUGUAGUAUAUUUUGAAACUGUGAAAAGAAUAGACUUCUAAUGUUCUCACUAUAAAAAGUAAAUGAUAGGUUGGUGAGAUGAUGGGUAUGGUAUUUGAUCUUUAUGUUAUUUAAUCUUUCUAUGGUAUAUACAUGGAUCAAAAUAUAUGCAUGUUGUAAUCCAUAAACAUACAGAAUAAUUCUUUAUCAAUUUUAAAAUAAACAGAAUUUUUAAAAUUAUGAUUGUAAAAUACAAUGUGAAUUUGACAUGUGAGAUCAGCGAAUUGCUGUCUUUGCCUCACAACUAAGGGGAUAAUGAUAAAAUUGGGGGUUCAUAUUUCCAUCCCAUUCUCUUUUAGCUGAUUUGUGUUUUCAUUCCACACACUGGGAGGGGUUGGCUAGAAUCUCUGUCAUCAGACAUUCAUCAUGCCUGUUCUUCUUUCAUUUCUUUAUGACAAAUGACUCAAUUUCUGUGAACAUUUUUUCUCACAAGUUUAUAUGUCCCCAUCACUUUAUCACCUUUUAGUCUCUUCCAUGACCAUUACUAAGUUCUCUAAGUUCAGUGAAAUGGGUGCUCAGACCUGAGGGAAAUCAGAGUUGUUCUCUCUUCUCCUCUAUGACAUCUAGCUGAAAUGAACAUUAAGAAAAUUUAUGAGACAAGUAAGCACAGUGGACCUCACAAGGCCACCUGAAAAGACCAAGAGUAACCCUGUUUCUUCAUCUUGUUGAGAAAAUGCUGCCAUUAAUGAAGGAGUUGGGACAGGGAUCUCUCCUACAUUCUGUCCCUGGUGGCUUGUACAAAUGAUCCAAUUUCUCCCAGAAAUUCUGAGAAUGUAUUAUAUGCUGUGUAAGAUAUUAGGCAAUUUGAAGAAGGGAAGUCACCUGGAUUCAGGUUUUACUCACGAGCUUGUCAAUCUUCUCCUUUCAGAUAGAACAGAGGGACUGAUGUAAUUGCCAAGUGGAAACAAGGAUAUGUAGAAGUGGAGGUGCACAGUAAAGAGAAGAGGUGUGUGGAGAUUUUCAGCAACAGGAAAGAGAAGAAAUCAAGCAGAGCACAAAUGUGGCCAUCUAAAGCAGAGAUGCCUCUGUGUGUUCAGCAGACACUCAUUACCCCCUCCCUCUCAGCUCACUCAUUCUUCACUAACCACCUUCUAGGAAUUGACACGGUUACACUUAUGCCCACUCUAUUAACCUUUGCCCAAAUGCACUUUUGCUCUCACUCUUGCUUGACCUGAUAAACAAGAUGGUAGAAUGGCUACUACCUUCCUGGAGCGUGGUCUGCAUCUUCAGAAGCUCAUGGAAAGUAAGUCAUUUCUACCAGUCUCUUCCAGAAAGUCAGGGAAGGCACAGCCCACCAUUCAGAAGAAAGAAAGGCAAUUUUCCUGGGAUUUCAAGAGUAUGAAAGGAAAAACUCCUUAUUGCAGCACUGGCAGUAACUGUACAAACAACAAGUUGUUCUGAAGAUUGAUUACACUCCCAAGUGUUGCUAUGACCAUGAGUCAAUGACAUCAGCAACUUAAUAUUUUACAUGUCAUAACAAAGUACUAGUAAAAAAUGAACAGGACUAACCAACUGGACAAAAUUCAGUUGUAAUGAGUUCAGGUGAUCUUAGAAAUCCCUCAGAAAUGGAAGGCAAAGCAGGUAUUGGGUGGUGUAGAAACCUCAGCAUUCGGAUUUUUAUUAUGACUGCACCAGCAGAAUUUGAUUUUAAAUUGUAAAAUUUUACAAUAGACUUUGGUUUGUAAUGUAUUGCAGUUUAAAGUUUUGUUAUAUGGAAAGCUUAGUCUGCAAUUGCUAUAAUUUUUUCCCCUAUCUGUACGUAGUUUUGAGAAAAAAAAAAUUAUUCCUUCCCUUUCACACUCUUUAUUUUUCUGCCUACUGGAAUAAAUUUGAGCUGAAUGUUUAAUCUGUCCUUUAGUAAGCAUUUUCAAUCAUUACAAAGCUGAUGUGAAGAGAGCUGAAUGUGACAUGAGAAAACAGAAUGGAUCAGUAAAAUUACCUAAGUCUUACAUCAUGCUAAAACAGAGAGGUGGUCUCUCUUCCUUUGUGCCUUUCUUCAUAUAUGAUGCCCAAUGUCAUAUAUGGCAUAUAAUACAUUCUUGGGGUUUCUGGGGGAAAUUGGGUAAAGAUGAACAUUCUUAUAUUGGAAGGAUGUGGUAAAUCAUAUUUGUCACCUUCCUCUUACAGCAUGGUCUCUAGGGGAGCAAGAAGCCAUCCAGUCUCCCGGGACUAAGCUUUGGAAAGUAGAUUUGCUAAGGUAGAUGUCAAUGAGGCCAGUUGCAGGAUCAAAGCAUUUUAAAGGGAGACUCGUGCAGCGGUUUAAGUCAAAAUGUUUCUUCAAGGAGGAAUAAAGUAGAGCAGAAAAACACUGAGAGUGAGAUGGAAUAGAAUGUUCUUAUGUCACAUUGUGUCACAUAAUUGUGUGUACACUGGAUGAACCUUGCAAACUUUCUAGGUCUCAAUUUACUCAUCCAUAGAAUGAAAUGGGUUGAACCCCAAAACUUUCUGUGUGUGUCAGCCUGAAUUUUAUUGACUAGUCCAUUGCCUUUAAUCUAGUAAACCCAUAAAUGUGAG